UACGUAGGUCCCGAGCGUUGUCCGGAUUUAUUGGGCGUAAAGCGAGCGCAGGUGGUUUAUUAAGUUUGGUGUAAAAGGCAGUGGCUCAACCAUUGUAUGCAUUGGAAACUGGUAGACUUGAGUGCAGGAGAGGAGAGUGGAAUUCCAUGUGUAGCAGUGAAAUGCGUAGAUAUAUGGAGGAACACCGGUGGCGAAAGCGGCUCUCUGGCCUGUAACUGACACUGAGGCUCGAAAGCGUGGGGAGCAAACAGG
rnacentral:rRNA from 1 species